AGAAUCGCCAUCUCUAAGUGCUUUGUCUAGUCUUUGCUUACCCACCGAAUAAAAUAAAAAAAUGUCUAAGCACUCCCGCGGUGUCGGUAAAAAAUUUGCUACAACCUGUGGUUUGCCUGUGGGUGCCGUCAUUAAUUGUGCAGAUAAUUCAGGUGCGAAAUCUCUUUUUGUCAUCGCUGUGGCUGGCUAUAAGGGUCGUUUGAACCGCUUACCUGCGGCUGGAGUUGGAGAUUUCAUCAUCACCUGUUGCAAAGACGCAAAACCUGAAUUGCGAAAAAAAGUUUUGCAGGCUACAAUUGUCCGCCAACGUCAAACAUGGCGCCGUAAAGAUGGUGUCUUUAUAUAUUUUGAAGACAAUGCUGGUGUUAUUAUAAAUUCAAAAGGAGAAAUGAAGGGGUCUCAAAUCACUGGCCCUGUAGCUAAAGAAUGUGCGGAUCUCUGGCCAAAAAUUGCUUCUUCUGCAAACACAAUUGUCUAAACAAUAAAAACAAAUAGAUUAUUUAACA